rnacentral:rRNA from 1 species
UGCCAGCCGCCGCGGUAAGACGGAGGGGGUUAGCGUUGUUCGGAAUUACUGGGCGUAAAGAGCGCGUAGGUUGUUUAGUAAGUUGAAAGUGAAAUCCCUGAGCUUAACUCAGGAACUGCUUUCAAAACUGCUAAGCUAGAGUGUAGUAGGGGAUGAUGGAAUUCCUAGUGUAGAGGUGAAAUUCUUAGAUAUUAGGAGGAACAUCGGUGGCGAAGGCGGUCAUCUGGACUAUUACUGACACUGAGGCGCGAAAGCGUGGGUAGCAAACAGGAUUAGAUA